rnacentral:rRNA from 1 species
UGUUGACCUCGGAUCAUGUAGGAAUACCCGCUGAACUUAAGCAUA